rnacentral:rRNA from 1 species
AUUGAACGCUGGCGGCAGGCCUAACACAUGCAAGUCGAAUGGUAACAGGAAACAGCUUGCUGUUUCGCUGACGAGUGGCGGACGGGUGAGUAAUGUCUGGGAAACUGCCUGAUGGAGGGGGAUAACUACUGGAAACGGUAGCUAAUACCGCAUAACGUCGCAAGACCAAAGAGGGGGACCUUCGGGCCUCUUGCCAUCAGAUGUGCCCAGAUGGGAUUAGCUAGUAGGUGGGGUAACGGCUCACCUAGGCGACGAUCCCUAGCUGGUCUGAGAGGAUGACGAGCCACACUGGAACUGAGACACGGUCCAGACUCCUACGGGAGGCAGAAGUGGGGAAUAUUGCACAAUGGGCGCAAGCCUGAUGCAGCCAUGCCGCGUGUAUGAAGAAGGCCUUCGGGUUGUAAAGUACUUUCAGCGGGGAGGAAGGGAGUAAAGUUAAUACCUUUGCUCAUUGACGUUACCCGCAGAAGAAGCACCGGCUAACUCCGUG